rnacentral:rRNA from 1 species
GAGUUUGAUCCUGGCUCAGAACGAACGCUGGCGGCAUGCCUAACACAUGCAAGUCGAACGCGUGUAGCAAUACACGAGUGGCGGACGGGUGAGUAACGCGUGGGAACCUGCCCAGUGGUAGGGAAUAACUGCGGGAAACUGCAGCUAAUACCCUAUGAGCCCUACGGGGGAAAGAUUUAUCGCCAUUGGAGGGGCCCGCGUCGGAUUAGCUAGUUGGUAGGGUAAUGGCCUACCAAGGCGACGAUCCGUAGCUGGUCUGAGAGGAUGAUCAGCCACACUGGGACUGAGAUACGGCCCAGACUCCUACGGGAGGCAGCAGUGGGGAAUAUUGGACAAUGGGGGAAACCCUGAUCCAGCAAUGCCGCGUGAGUGAAGAAGGCCUUAGGGUUGUAAAGCUCUUUCGGCGGGGACGAUGAUGACGGUACCCGCAGAAGAAGCCCCGGCUAACUUCGUGCCAGCCGCCGCCGU